AACCAGACUCCUACGGGAGGCAGCAGUGGGGAAUAUUGCACAAUGGGGGGAACCCUGAUGCAGCGACGCCGCGUGGGUGAAGAAGUAUUUCGGUAUGUAAAGCCCUAUCGGCAGGGAAGAAAUUGGACGGUACCUGACUAAGAAGCCCCGGCUAACUACGUGCCAGCAGCCGCGGUAAUACGUAGGGGGCAAGCGUUAUCCGGAUUUACUGGGUGUAAAGGGGGCGCAGACGGCGAUGCAAGCCAGGAGUGAAAGCCCGGGGCCCAACCCCGGGACUGCUCUUGGAACUGCGUGGCUGGAGUGCAGGAGGGGCAGGCGGAAUUCCUGGUGUAGCGGUGAAAUGCGUAGAUAUCAGGAGGAACACCGGUGGCGAAGGCGGCCUGCUGGACUGCAACUGACGUUGAGGCCCGAAAGCGUGGGGAGCAAACAGGAUUAGAUACCCCCGUA
rnacentral:rRNA from 1 species